GGGCAUCUGAAAGUAGUCCUGAGGGUCACCUCGCGGUGCAGCCCCCGGGACGACCCAGGACACCCUGGAUACCCAGGCCGAGAGCCGGGACCAGCCGGCGCCUCCUCACUGCUGCUCGAGGGAGCCUGAAGAGAGGACCCAGUCAUGCUGCAGUCAGGCUUCUGACCUCCAGAACUAUGAACUAAUAAAUGGGUGUUUUAAGCUGUUAUGUUUGCAAUGUGUUAUGAAGUCACAGGAAACUGAUACAGAUGGUCAUUUCAAAGAGGGGAACCACAUGACAAAUGCUCUAAGCCAUAAAGAAGCAGAGAACUAAAGUCAUUCAGAGAACUAAAGACAUUCGGCAUAGCUGGACCAUGGGGAGCAAAGGAGAUGGUAUGAAAGCUAAUCUUUGAAGACACACUUAAUCAGCGAAAUGGUGAUUGUUGAAGGAGAAUUGUUGCCUGAUGCGCUAAUUUCUAAGUUAAAGAGGAACAUCAUUUUUGCAACAAUAAAGUAGUGAUCUGCCCUUCCACGCCGUGUUAAGACACUUCCCACAAUUCCUCCACCCUUCUCAUUUAGGUAAGUACUAAAAUAAACAGGAAAGGGGAACUGUACCUCUUAUCCCUAUGCAAUCGGCCCAGUGAAUUGAUUUCAACUUUGCAUUUAUGAGAAGAAAAAAAAAGAUGACUUCCUUAUUUGUAUUUUAGUGGGCACAAAAUUCCCCUUCCAGAGAGGCCUGUCUUUAUCCCUCAGCCAUUUUCAAAGAGCACUUUCAUGCAAAGAGCAAACAGCUUCUCUAGGCGGAGAGUUUGAAUUUCCCCUUCCUGAACCAUUUCCUAUAUCUGAACUGCCCACAUCUUAUGGGGCAAGAACAUCACAAGAGGAUGUAAAGGAUCCAACAAGCUACUAACUCAGCAGAAAACACAAUAAUGCCAGUCUUAGAGAACUACGUGCUAGGGAGAGUUCAUGGCAAUGAAUUCAAUAAAGGUCUUUUCCAACCAGCAGCCUAAUAGGAUCCUUUCUCUCUUCUUGUUGUUGAACUUAUCUAUCUAAGAACACAUUUUUUUAAAG